GGUGUUAUGGCUCAGUGGUAGAGGGCUCAUCUAGCACAUGCGAGGCCCUGAGUUCGAUCCUUAGCACCA
rnacentral:tRNA from 1 species